rnacentral:rRNA from 1 species
AGUGAAGAACUCUGGAAUGAGUCUUUGCUAAAAAGACGUUUACGUUAUGCUCGUAGGCGUCGCCCAAGGAUGAGGCCGCGACCGAUCAGGUUGUUGGUGAGGUAAUGGCUCACCAAGCCUUUUACCGGUGCGGGCCGUGAGAGCGGGAGCCCGGAGAUGGGCACUGAGACAAGGGCCCAGGCCCUACGGGGCGCAGCAGUCGCGAAAACUUUGCAAUACACGAAAGUGUGACAGGGCUAUCCCGAGUGCCAUCCGCUGAGGAAGGCUUUUACCCAGUCUAGAACGCUGGGGGAAUAAGGAGAGGGCAAGUCUGGUGUCAGCCGCCGCGGUAAUACCAGCUCUCCGAGUGGUGUGGAUGUUUAUUGGGCCUAAAGCAUCCGUAGCUGGCUGAGUUAGUCCCUUGUUAAAUCCACCGAAUUAAUCGUUGGAUUGCGGGGGAUACUGCUCGGCUAGGGGACGAGAGAGGCAGACGGUAUUUCCGGGGUAGGGGUGAAAUCCUAUAAUCCCGGGAAGACCACCAGUGGCGAAGGCUGUCUGCUAGAACGCGCCCGACGGUGAGGGAUGAAAGCUGGGGGAGCGAACCGGAUUAGAUACCCGGGUAGUCCCAGCUGUAAACGAUGCAGGCUAGGUGUUUGGACGGCCACGUGCCGUUCUAGUGCCGCAGGGAAGCUGUUAAGCCUGCCGCCUGGGGAGUACGAUCGCAAGAUUGAAACUUAAAGGAAUUGGCGGGGGAGCACCACAAGGG